UUGGUGUUUUUUUUGAGGGUAGCUGAUACACGAGUCAGUGGGAUUCUGUAUUUAAACCUUUUAAAAAUCAGGAAAUCUCUAUAUUACUAUAAUUCCUAUUGAAUUGUGUUCUGUAUAUUCUUAGUGGUGUCGAUCACUAACAUUUGGGGAAAACAUCAAUUCAAUACGUUUCCAUAUAUAUUAUAAUUCUCUUUGUUCAAUACGCUACGAGGG